CAGGCUUAACACAUGCAAGUCGAGGGGCAGCAUGGUCUUAGCUUGCUAAGGCCGAUGGCGACCGGCGCACGGGUGAGUAACACGUAUCCAACCUGCCGUCUACUCUUGGACAGCCUUCUGAAAGGAAGAUUAAUACAAGAUGGCAUCAUGAGUCCGCAUGUUCACAUGAUUAAAGGUAUUCCGGUAGACGAUGGGGAUGCGUUCCAUUAGAUAGUAGGCGGGGUAACGGCCCACCUAGUCUUCGAUGGAUAGGGGUUCUGAGAGGAAGGUCCCCCACAUUGGAACUGAGACACGGUCCAAACUCCUACGGGAGGCAGCAGUGAGGAAUAUUGGUCAAUGGGCGAGAGCCUGAACCAGCCAAGUAGCGUGAAGGAUGACUGCCCUAUGGGUUGUAAACUUCUUUUAUAAAGGAAUAAAGUCGGGUAUGCAUACCCGUUUGCAUGUACUUUAUGAAUAAGGAUCGGCUAACUCCGUGCCAGCAGCCGCGGUAAUACGGAGGAUCCGAGCGUUAUCCGGAUUUAUUGGGUUUAAAGGGAGCGUAGAUGGAUGUUUAAGUCAGUUGUGAAAGUUUGCGGCUCAACCGUAAAAUUGCAGUUGAUACUGGAUAUCUUGAGUGCAGUUGAGGCAGGCGGAAUUCGUGGUGUAGCGGUGAAAUGCUUAGAUAUCACGAAGAACUCCGAUUGCGAAGGCAGCCUGCUAAGCUGCAACUGACAUUGAGGCUCGAAAGUGUGGGUAUCAAACAGGAUUAGAUACCCUGGUAGUCCACACGGUAAACGAUGAAUACUCGCUGUUUGCGAUAUACAGCAAGCGGCCAAGCGAAAGCGUUAAGUAUUCCACCUGGGGAGUACGCCGGCAACGGUGAAACUCAAAGGAAUUGACGGGGGCCCGCACAAGCGGAGGAACAUGUGGUUUAAUUCGAUGAUACGCGAGGAACCUUACCCGGGCUUAAAUUGCAGAUGAAUUACGGUGAAAGCCGUAAGCCGCAAGGCAUCUGUGAAGGUGCUGCAUGGUUGUCGUCAGCUCGUGCCGUGAGGUGUCGGCUUAAGUGCCAUAACGAGCGCAACCCUUGUUGUCAGUUACUAACAGGUUCCGCUGAGGACUCUGACAAGACUGCCAUCGUAAGAUGUGAGGAAGGUGGGGAUGACGUCAAAUCAGCACGGCCCUUACGUCCGGGGCUACACACGUGUUACAAUGGGGGGUACAGAGGGCCGCUACCACGCGAGUGGAUGCCAAUCCCCAAAACCUCUCUCAGUUCGGACUGGAGUCUGCAACCCGACUCCACGAAGCUGGAUUCGCUAGUAAUCGCGCAUCAGCCACGGCGCGGUGAAUACGUUCCCGGGCCUUGUACACACCGCCCGUCAAGCCAUGGGAGCCGGGGGUACCUGAAGUGCGUAACCGCGAGGAGCGCCCUAGGGUAAAACUGGUGACUGGGGCUAAGUCAUAAC
rnacentral:rRNA from 1 species